rnacentral:rRNA from 1 species
AUUGAACGCUGGCGGAAUGCUUUACACAUGCAAGUCGAACGGCAGCACGGAGAGCUUGCUCUCUGGUGGCGAGUGGCGAACGGGUGAGUAAUAUAUCGGAACGUGUCCAAUAAUGGGGGAUAACGAGCCGAAAGAUUCGCUAAUACCGCAUACGCCCUACGGGGGAAAGCAGGGGAUCGUAAGACCUUGCGUUAAUGGAGCGGCCGAUAUCUGAUUAGCUAGUUGGUGAGGUAAAGGCUCACCAAGGCGACGAUCAGUAGCUGGUUUGAGAGAACGACCAGCCACACUGGAACUGAGACACGGUCCAGACUCCUACGGGAGGCAGCAGUGGGAAAUUUUGGACAAUGGGGGCAACCCUGAUCCAGCCAUUCCGCGUGAGUGAAGAAGGCCUUCGGGUUGUAAAGCUCUUUCGCAAGGGAAGAAAACUUAUGAUCGAAUAAAUCAUGAGGUUGACGGUACCUUGAUAAGAAGCACCGGCUAACUACGUGCCAGCCGCCGCAGUAA